rnacentral:misc_RNA from 1 species
GUGAUCAUCUUACUGUUAAUGGCUUUCAGCAUUCAGAAGGUAUUAUGGCAAAUCAUUCCUCAAAUGAUCUUGGUGAAAUGGUUCCCACUCAGUCACACAGUUCAGAGGUAUCAUCCACACAACAAGAUAGUAAAAGUAACUUUGAGGAGCCAGGACCUUUAAAAGAAGAAUUUCCGCCAUCACCUUCAGAUCAUCAGAGCAUUUUGGUUUCCUUAUCUUCCCGUUGUGUGUGGAAGGGGACUGUCUGUGAAAGGUCUCAUCUUUUUCGAAUUAAAUACUAUGGUAGCUUUGACAAACCUUUGGGUCGGUUUUUGCGAGACCAUUUAUUUGAUAAUAGUUACACAUGCCGUUCUUGUGAGAUGCCAU